CAGGCCUAACACAUGCAAGUCGAGCGGUAGCAGGAAGUGCUUGCACUUCGCUGACAAGCGGCGGACGGGUGCGUAACACGUAGGAAUCUGCCCGGUAGUGGGGGAUAGCCCGGAGAAAUUCGGAUUAAUACCGCAUACGCCCUAAGGGGGAAAGCAGGGGAUCUUCGGACCUUGCGCUAUCGGAUGAGCCUGUGUCGGACUAGCUAGUUGGUGGGGUAAAGGCCCACCAAGGCGACGAUCCGUAGCUGGUCUGAGAGGAUGAUCAGCCACACUGGGACUGAGACACGGCCCAGACUCCUACGGGAGGCAGCAGUGGGGAAUAUUGCACAAUGGGCGAAAGCCUGAUGCAGCCAUGCCGCGCGUGUGAAGAAGGCCCUAGGGUUGUAAAGCACUUUCAGUGGGGAGGAAAGGUUGAAGGUUAAUACCCUUUAGCUGUGACGUUACCCACAGAAGAAGCACCGGCUAACUCCGUGCCAGCAGCCGCGGUAAUACGGAGGGUGCGAGCGUUAAUCGGAAUUACUGGGCGUAAAGCGUGCGUAGGCGGCUUUUUAAGUUAGAUGUGAAAGCCCCGGGCUUAACCUGGGAACUGCAUCCAAAACUGGAAGGCUUGAGUGCGAGAGAGGAGUGUGGAAUUUCCUGUGUAGCGGCG
rnacentral:rRNA from 1 species